AGUCGGAUCUAAGAGCCGUUUCGUUCGCGACCGACACAUCACUACAAUAAAGUUUUAUCGGCUACACGUUUCAGCAUCUCGCUAGCACUACAGAAGCACAGCUGCUAACUUUUUUUGAAGUUUGGAGUAAUUUUGCAUACAAUGUUUCAAACAGCUCGACGAAUAUGACAGAGACUGUCUCUGUGCAGUUUGACACACAGCCUGCUAGUUAAGGACUUUAUAUUAAAGAGAGGAAAAACAACUGAUGUGAAAACAGUAACACGUACAGAGGACACGAGGACGGUGACGCUAUUUUUGAAAGGGUCUCGGUAGUCUCUCAUUCCAGAGAUUCCACCAGAGGACGCUGUCUGCCUUCUCAUCGCAAACAGCCCAGUUAACCUGUUAUGCUGCUGCCAUUGUCAUUGCCAUACUGGGAAUCCCUCCUGUCCUCAUCGGGGCUGUUGCUGCCUCCACAGGCCCAGGAGCUGAUGCUGUUGGAAACCUGUAGAAAGCGUCCACCUUAAUGUUGCUCCCACCCAAACAAUAUUUGAUGUUGUAACUGAAGGAUGCAGGUUGGGUAAGCCAAUGCAGUUCUGCUGUACACAGGCAAGAAGUCUGCAAAUGAGCAACAGGAUUACUGCCUGUAUACACUCUAAAUCAUGCCUGAGGCGGGUAGUAUUUAAACUUUAAAUGGCUUCCUAUUUAAGGGUAACCAACUCCCGUUUGAAAGAGCUGUAAUUGCCAUCAUUUAGUACUACAGGCUGUCAGCUUCAGCUGACAUAAAUUAUAACCUGUUCCUGCCCCUGACUGGUCGCGUCUGUGUAUACAAUGAAUAAUAAAGCAAGUUCACAACAACUUUCAAUAUUUAGUAUUUACUGAUGUUCACACUUAGCUAGAUUAACGUGAUGGUGUUGUGUUUAGUAUGUUGCUUUGUUUUUGUUUGGUUUUUUUUUUUUGCUUGUCUU